rnacentral:rRNA from 1 species
UGAAGCCCUUCGGGGUGGAUUAGUGGCGAACGGGUGAGUAACACGUGGGCAAUCUGCCCUUCACUCUGGGACAAGCCCUGGAAACGGGGUCUAAUACCGGAUAACACCGGCCUUCGCAUGGAGGCUGGUUGAAAGCUCCGGCGGUGAAGGAUGAGCCCGCGGCCUAUCAGCUUGUUGGUGGGGUAAUGGCCCACCAAGGCGACGACGGGUAGCCGGCCUGAGAGGGCGACCGGCCACACUGGGACUGAGACACGGCCCAGACUCCUACGGGAGGCAGCAGUGGGGAAUAUUGCACAAUGGGCGAAAGCCUGAUGCAGCGACGCCGCGUGAGGGAUGACGGCCUUCGGGUUGUAAACCUCUUUCAGCAGGGAAGAAGCGAAAGUGACGGUACCUGCAGAAGAAGCGCCGGCUAACUACGUGCCAGCAGCCGCGGUAAUACGUAGGGCGCAAGCGUUGUCCGGAAUUAUUGGGCGUAAAGAGCUCGUAGGCGGCUUGUCACGUCGGGUGUGAAAGCCCGGGGCUUAACCCCGGGUCUGCAUCCGAUACGGGCAGGCUAGAGUGUGGUAGGGGAGAUCGGAAUUCCUGGUGUAGCGGUGAAAUGCGCAGAUAUCAGGAGGAACACCGGUGGCGAAGGCGGAUCUCUGGGCCAUUACUGACGCUGAGGAGCGAAAGCGUGGGGAGCGAACAGGAUUAGAUACCCUGGUAGUCCACGCCGUAAACGUUGGGAACUAGGUGUUGGCGACAUUCCACGUCGUCGGUGCCGCAGC